rnacentral:rRNA from 1 species
ACUCCUACGGGAGGCAGCAGUGGGGAAUAUUGCACAAUGGGCGCAAGCCUGAUGCAGCAACGCCGCGUGAGGGAUGACGGCCUUCGGGUUGUAAACCUCUUUUAGCAGGGAAGAAGCGAAAGUGACGGUACCUGCAGAAAAAGCGCCGGCUAACUACGUGCCAGCAGCCGCGGUAAUACGUAGGGCGCAAGCGUUAUCCGGAAUUAUUGGGCGUAAAGAGCUCGUAGGCGGUUUGUCGCGUCUGCUGUGAAAUCCCGAGGCUCAACCUCGGGUCUGCAGUGGGUACGGGCAGACUAGAGUGCGGUAGGGGAGAUUGGAAUUCCUGGUGUAGCGGUGGAAUGCGCAGAUAUCAGGAGGAACACCGAUGGCGAAGGCAGAUCUCUGGGCCGUAACUGACGCUGAGGAGCGAAAGGGUGGGGAGCAAACAGGCUUAGAUACCCUGGUAGCUAC